UCUCAGUGAUGCUUAUUAUCCAUUUUAACUAGUUUCAGUGAUCCUUCCUUAGAGGCAUAUUAGAUGGCAUAUUAUUCAGUGGAUUAUUUCACAUCAUUGCAAUUAAAAUUUCAUGAAUUUUAUUUUUUUCUUCAUUUUUUUAUUUGUAUUUUUCUCAAUGUCAUUUUUUUAUCACUAUUGUCUUUAUAUUUUUUACAGUGCUAUUUUGACGUCACAUUUUUUUUAUUUAAUAUACUGUGAAUAUUACAAGUAUGAUAAGAGUUGCAGAAACUAAGCACUUGAAUAUGUUUUGAUUACACUAAACAUGAUAAAACUCCAAACACAUUCGAAAAAUUACCAUUGUGAUUUAUCUGCAUAUAUCUGCCGUAUAUGAAACACAAUGCCUGUCUGCGUUCAUUCACCUAAAGGAAUGUAGUCAGUUUCUGAAUGCUGAUAUUAAAAUACUCUUUUUUUUCAUUCAUAGCCAAAGGUUCAUGAGUAAUGAUCAUUUUACAAAUAAAUGAU